rnacentral:rRNA from 1 species
UACGUAGGUGGCAAGCGUUGUCCGGAAUUAUUGGGCGUAAAGCGCGCGCAGGCGGCCUCUUAAGUCUGAGGUGAAAGCCCCCGGCUCAACGGGGGAGGGCCAUUGGAAACUGGGAGGCUUGAGUAUAGGAGAGGAGAGUGGAAUUCCACGUGUAGCGGUGAAAUGCGUAGAGAUGUGGAGGAACACCAGUGGCGAAGGCGACUCUUUGGCCUCUAACGGACGAUGAGGCGCGAAAGCGUGGGGAGCAAACAGG